UUCAACGACGGGCCAGCCGCCGCUGGAAUACGUAAGGUGCAAGCGUUAAUCGGAAUUACUGGGCGUAAAGCGGGCGCAGGCGGUUCGGAAAGAAAGAUGUGAAAUCCCAGAGCUUAACUUUGGAACUGCAUUUUUAACUACCGGGCUAGAGUGUGUCAGAGGGAGGUGGAAUUCCGCGUGUAGCAGUGAAAUGCGUAGAUAUGCGGAGGAACACCGAUGGCGAAGGCAGCCUCCUGGGAUAACACUGACGCUCAUGCACGAAAGCGUGGGGAGCAAACAGGAUUAGAUACCCGGGUAGUC
rnacentral:rRNA from 1 species